rnacentral:ncRNA from 1 species
GACCUCUAAUUCUUUAAGAAGUUUGUCUAAAAGAUUGGCGGGCCUUGUACACACCACCCGUCACACUAUGAGAGCUGACCAUGCCCGAAGUCGUUACCUUAACCAUAAGGAGGGGGAUAUCGAAGGGAAGGCUAGUGACUGGAGUGAAGUCGUAACAAGGUAGCCGUACUGGAAGGGGCGGCUG